rnacentral:rRNA from 1 species
AGCGAACGCUGGCGGCAGGCUUAACACAUGCAAGUCGAGCGGGCACCUUCGGGUGUCAGCGGCAGACGGGUGAGUAACACGUGGGAACGUGCCCUUCGGUUCGGAAUAACUCAGGGAAACUUGAGCUAAUACCGGAUACGCCCUUAUGGGGAAAGGUUUACCGCCGAAGGAUCGGCCCGGGUCUGAUUGGCUUGUGGGUGGGGUAACGGCCUACCAAGGCGACGAUCAGUAGCUGGUCUGAGAGGAUGAUCAGCCACACUGGGACUGAGACACGGCCCAGACUCCUACGGGAGGCAGCAGUGGGGAAUAUUGGACAAUGGGCGCAAGCCUGAUCCAGCCAUGCCGCGUGAGUGAUGAAGGCCUUAGGGUUGUAAAGCUCUUUUGUCCGGGACGAUAAUGACGGUACCGGAAGAAUAAGCCCCGGCUAACUUCGUGCCAGCCGCCGCCGUAA